rnacentral:lncRNA from 1 species
AAAAAUGCGGGGAAAUGUCCUGCUGCAAAGAACACUGUACAUCAAACCAAUGAGAUUCUACAGAUAAAAUGAUACAUCUACAAAUAAGUAACUAGAAUUUUUCAGCUAUUACAGAGAUUGGCAUUCCUAUCUUUGACCUCUUGAAGUAAGCUGUGUAGCUUGAAUCGAACUGAUCAGUCCAUGAUAAAGUUGAAGACAUCAGUAGUAGCACAAGUUUUCUUCCCAUAUUUCCCGUUGUUUCGCUCAAUCCAAAUAUAAUAGAUAUAGGCUUUCAGACAACUUUAAGAAUGAUCACAAGGAGAGAUUUUCCUUUCAGCUUCUUUUUCCAGUUGAACUCUUCAAGCCAGUCACCGGCAGGCCUGUGAAUAUUGAGGUCUGCAAAACUCUCUCUUAAAUUUGCUUAUUGUCAAUGGGAACUCUCCGGGAACAAUGUCUGCAUGAGGAGGAUUAUUGCAGUAGUGUUCCGGUCCCAGUUUCUCUUCAGGCCAGAAAAGCUUCUUGGUGUGGUGAACAGCACGAUAAUAGUGCUCAUCCUUAACGACUUGAUGUUCGAGACAAUCAAGCUUCUGAAUGUCAUCAUUUAGCCCAUCUUCGUUCCAUGGGGGUCGACGAUAGCCAUGAACAACUGCCUGAAACUCACCAAGUAAGACAUACUUUCUGAGAGCGUGACCGACACUGUCAGUUGACAAUGACACUCAUCAAUCAAUGGAUUUUGUUUUUUUUUUUUUUUGUUAAUCAAAUACUUUUAAAAAUUGUGGUCUUUGUUCGUAUCAUCUUCUAGUUGUCAUUACUUCUGCUUCCUAAUGUCCCUUGAUGUAUCCCUGUUAUGAUCAUAGACAUGAAAGAAAAGGAACUUAUAAAUUUUCUUCAAUGGAUUUACGCCCAUUUCCUUUUGAUUGACUUGUAAUUUUCAAUACCCAAAUUGGGAGUUGGAAAAAAUGCUCUGAUAUAGUUCAAGACUCAAGACUCAAGACUAAAGUGAAUUUUGUGCCAAACUGAGAAAGCAUAUAUUUACUGAUUCAGGAAAAAAUACCAGCACCAUUUGAAGAUUGGAUCAUAUCAACAAGGAGUGGGAACUGUAAGAAGGCAAAUAAGGUUACAGGAAUACAAGCAAUUAAAGCUGCUGGGACAGCAAUCCAUGCCAGUCUUUGGCUAAGGACAAUGCAAAAG